AUGGCUCAUGCAGUUCAGUUAGGCUUUCAAGGUGCUACAUCCCCUAUUAUGGAAGAAUUACUCACUUUCCAUGACCAUACUCUUAUAAUUAUUUUCCUAAUUAGUUCCCUGGUCCUAUAUAUUAUUUCCCUAAUACUCACAACAAAUUAAUUCAUACUAACAGCAUAGAUGCCCAAGAAAUCGAGACUGUCUGAACUAUCUCACCUGCCAUUAUCUUAAUUUUAAUUGCCCUCCCAUCCCUACGUAUUCUAUAACAGAUGAGGUUCACAACCCUUCUAUUACCAUCAAAACAACUGGUCACCAAUGAUAUUGAAGCUAUGAGUAUACAGAACAUGAAGAGUUAGGCUUUGAUUCUUAUAUAACCCCAACAGCAGACUUAAAGCCAGGAGAGCUUCAACUCUUUGAAGUUGAUAACUGAACAGUUCUCCCAAUAGAGAUACCCAUCUGUAUAUUAGUCUCAUCCGAAGACGUCCUACACUCAUGAACUAUUCCCUCAUUAGGCAUCAAAACAGAUGCAAUUCCUGAAUGCUUAAACUACCUUGACUGCUACAUGACCAGGCCUUUACUACGGACAGUGCUCAAAAAUGUGUGGGUCUAACCACGGUUUUAUACCUAUUGUCCUAGAAUCAAUUCCCUUAAAAAAUUUCGAAACCUGA
rnacentral:lncRNA from 1 species